rnacentral:rRNA from 1 species
AUGAACACUAGCUACAGGCUUAACACAUGCAAGUCGAGGGGCAGCAUGGUCUUAGCUUGCUAAGGCCGAUGGCGACCGGCGCACGGGUGAGUAACACGUAUCCAACCUGCCGUCUACUCUUGGACAGCCUUCUGAAAGGAAGAUUAAUACAAGAUGGCAUCAUGAGUCCGCAUGUUCACAUGAUUAAAGGUAUUCCGGUAGACGAUGGGGAUGCGUUCCAUUAGAUAGUAGGCGGGGUAACGGCCCACCUAGUCUUCGAUGGAUAGGGGUUCUGAGAGGAAGGUCCCCCACAUUGGAACUGAGACACGGUCCAAACUCCUACGGGAGGCAGCAGUGAGGAAUAUUGGUCAAUGGGCGAGAGCCUGAACCAGCCAAGUAGCGUGAAGGAUGACUGCCCUAUGGGUUGUAAACUUCUUUUAUAAAGGAAUAAAGUCGGGUAUGCAUACCCGUUUGCAUGUACUUUAUGAAUAAGGAUCGGCUAACUCCGUGCCAGCAGCCGCGGUAAUACGGAGGAUCCGAGCGUUAUCCGGAUUUAUUGGGUUUAAAGGGAGCGUAGAUGGAUGUUUAAGUCAGUUGUGAAAGUUUGCGGCUCAACCGUAAAAUUGCAGUUGAUACUGGAUAUCUUGAGUGCAGUUGAGGCAGGCGGAAUUCGUGGUGUAGCGGUGAAAUGCUUAGAUAUCACGAAGAACUCCGAUUGCGAAGGCAGCCUGCUAAGCUGCAACUGACAUUGAGGCUCGAAAGUGUGGGUAUCAAACAGGAUUAGAUACCCUGGUAGUCCACACGGUAAACGAUGAAUACUCGCUGUUUGCGAUAUACGGCAAGCGGCCAAGCGAAAGCGUUAAGUAUUCCACCUGGGGAGUACGCCGGCAACGGUGAAACUCAAAGGAAUUGACGGGGGCCCGCACAAGCAGUGGAGUAUGUGGAUUAAUUCGAAGCAACGCGAAGAACCUUACCAAGUCUUGACAUCCCUUGACGAUGCUGGAAACAGUAUUUCUCUUCGGAGCAAGGAGACAGGUGGUGCAUGGUUGUCGUCAGCUCGUGUCGUGAGAUGUUGGGUUAAGUCCCGCAACGAGCGCAACCCUUAUGGUCAGUUACUACGCAAGAGGACACUGGACUCUGACAAGACUGCCAUCGUAAGAUGUGAGGAAGGUGGGGAUGACGUCAAAUCAGCACGGCCCUUACGUCCGGGGCUACACACGUGUUACAAUGGGGGGUACAGAGGGCCGCUACCACGCGAGUGGAUGCCAAUCCCAAAAACCUCUCUCAGUUCGGACUAGAGUCUGCAACCCGACUCCACGAAGCUGGAUUCGCUAGUAAUCGCGCAUCAGCCACGGCGCGGUGAAUACGUUCCCGGGCCUUGUACACACCGCCCGUCAAGCCAUGGGAGCCGGGGGUACCUGAAGUGCGUAACCGCGAGGAGCGCCCUAGGGUAAAACUGGUGACUGGGGCU